UGGGGAAUUUUGGACAAUGGGCGCAAGCCUGAUCCAGCCAUGCCGCGUGCGGGAAGAAGGCCUUCGGGUUGUAAACCGCUUUUGUCAGGGAAGAAAUCUUCUGAGUUAAUACCUCGGGAGGAUGACAGUACCUGAAGGAUAAGCACCGGCUAACUACGUGCCAGCAGCCGCGGUAAUACGUAGGGUGCAAGCGUUAAUCGGAAUUACUGGGCGUAAAGCGUGCGCAGGCGGUUUUGUAAGACAGAGGUGAAAUCCCCGGGCUCAACCUGGGAACUGCCUUUGUGACUGCAAGGCUUGAGUGCGGCAGAGGGGGAUGGAAUUCCGCGUGUAGCAGUGAAAUGCGUAGAUAUGCGGAGGAAACACCGAUGGCGAAGGCAAUCCCCUGGGCCUGCACUGACGCUCAUGCACGAAAGCGUGGGGAGCAAACAGGAUUAGAUACCCUGGUAGUCCACGCCCUAAAACGAUGUC
rnacentral:rRNA from 1 species